GUAGACGCUAUACUCUAAGAUUAACCCAUGCAUGUUUAUUGAAUAUAAAGAAAAGACGAACAGCUCAGUAACUCUUAUUUGAUUUGAUGUAUUAGGAUUCUAACUAUGUUAAAUUAUAGGUAACAAUAAUACAAUAAGAAUAAGAUCUAUCAGUUAGUUGUUAAGGUAAUGGCUUAACAAGACUAUGACGGAUAACGGUAUUACUUUGUAAUAUUCCGGAGAAGGAGCCUUAGAGAUUGCUACUAAGUCUAAGGAUUGCAGCAGGGGCGAAACUUGACCUAUGAUAUUAUAUUGAGGCAGUUAUGAGUAGUAUUUUAUAAUUAUUGUAGUAUUGUAAGUACAUAUUACAAGAUAAAUCGGAGGGCAAAUCGAGUGCCAGCAGCCGCGGUAAUACUUGUUCCGAUAGUGUGUAUGAUGAUUGAUGCAGUUAAAAAGUCUGUAGUUUAUUUAUAAUAAGCAUUGUAAGGUAUACUGUAUGGUUAGGAGAGAGAUGAAAUGUGAUAACCCUAACUGGAUGAACAGAAGCGAAAGCUGUAUACUUAAAUGUAUUAUUAGAACAAGGACGUAAGCUAGAGGAUCGAAGAUGAUUAGAUACCAUUGUAGUUCUAGCAGUAAACUAUGUUGAAUCAUAGAUAUAUUUUGAUAUAUAUUUAUGUAAAGAAAUUAAGAUUAUAUUGACUCUGGGGAUAGUAUGAUCGCAAGAUUGAAAAUUAAAGAAAUUGACGGAAGAAUACCACAAGGAGUGGAUUGUGCGGCUUAAUUUGACUCAACGCGGGGUAAUUUACCAGGUAUAACAUGAUAUAAUAUUUUAUCAUGAUAGUGGUGCAUGGCCGUUUCCAAUGGAUGCUGUGAAGUAAUGAUUAAUUUCAACAAGAUGUGAGACCCUCAUAUAGACAGAUGUAGUGAUACAUAUGAAGGAGAGGAUUAAAACAGGUCCGUUAUGCCCUAAGAUAAUCUGGGUUGCACGCGCAAUACAAUAAUAUUUGAUAUUAUAAGGGAUAAUAUAAUGUAAGAUAUAUUUGAACAUGGAAUUGCUAGUAAAUUUUAUUUAAUAAGUAGAAUUGAAUGAGUCCCUGUUCUUUGUACACACCGCCCGUCGCUAUCUAAGAUGGUAUUAUCUAUGAACAAAUUUAUAAAGUGAAUAGAUAGUACUAGAUCUGAUAU
rnacentral:rRNA from 1 species